rnacentral:rRNA from 1 species
AACGAACGCUGGCGGCAGGCCUAACACAUGCAAGUCGAACGCCGUAGCAAUACGGAGUGGCAGACGGGUGAGUAACACGUGGGAACAUACCCUUUGGUUCGGAAUAACUCAGGGAAACUUGAGCUAAUACCGGAUAAGCGCUUAGGCGGAAAGAUUUAUCGCCGAAGGAUUGGCCCGCGUCCGAUUAGCUAGUUGGUGAG